rnacentral:lncRNA from 1 species
CCCCAGUCAGGCCCAGCUGGCACCGGCCGGCCCACGGAGCCCCUGCUGGCCGGUGAGUGCCCUGUACAGUGUGGGCUCCUGCCGGCGCCUCUCCCUCCACACCUCCUGGCGAGCAGAGGGAGCUGGCUUCGGCCUUGGCCAGCCCCAGAGAGGGGCCCCCACAGUGCAGUGGUGGGCUGAAGGGCUCCUCAAGUGCAGCCAGAGUGGAUGUGGAGGACGAGGAGGCACCAAGAGUGAGCAAGGGCUGCUAGCAUAUUGUCACCUCUCACUUCUAGUUGAAAAAGCAAAAUCAACAGAAACUCUCAUUCACUGCUGGGUAGAGGGGACCAGACCUACCUUACAAGAAAUGCUAAAGGGAGUUCUUCAUUUGAAAGAAGAAACACUAAUGUGAAGAAAAUUUGUUAAGGUAUAAAACCCAUUGGGAAAAUUAAGUACAUAGACAAACCCAAAACACUAAUACUGUAAAUGUGGUGUGCUACCCACUCAUAACUCUAAUAUGAAGCCCGAAAGACAAGUCUAUCAAAAACAAUGAUACCUACAGCACCCUGUUAAGAGACAGGCAUUAUAGGCCGGGCGCGGUGUCUCACGCCUGUAAUCCCAGCACUGUGGGAGGCAGAGGCGGGUGGAUCACCUGAGGUCGGGAGUUCAAGACCAUCCUGACCAACAUGGAGAAACCCCGUCUCUACUAAAAGUACAAAAAUUAGCUGGGCAUGGUGGCGCAUGCCUGUAAUCCCAGCUACUCAGGAGGCUGACAUGGGAGAAUCGCUUGAACCUGGGAGGCGGAGGUUGCGUUAAGCCAAGAUCCUGCCAUUGCACUCCAGCCUGGGCAGCAAGAGUGAAACUCCAU